CCAGGAACCACUAGUAAUCCAAUCCCAAAACUCCCACCCCUCCAAAGACAAAUUGGCAUUGUUACGGUCGUGCAGAGUGUCCCAGAGGUCAGUAAGGGCAUCAUGGAUCACAGAGAAGUUAGCAGAUGAAUGACACGCUGACAACCUAGAGUGUGUCC